GGCCUCAUGGUCUAGUGGUAUGAGUAAGUUUACAAUAACCUCCAUGGUGGCCGACAAAGCUAACACACAACUGUUCCUGCUUUGGGAAACACUCUCGAGUCUGCAGGAGGCCCCGCGUUCGAAUCGCGGUGGGGCCC